CAGUCGCCACGGGAAUACGUAGGUGGCAAGCGUUGUCCGGAUUUAUUGGGCGUAAAGCGAGCGCAGGCGGUUCCUUAAGUCUGAUGUGAAAGCCCACGGCUCAACCGUGGAAGGUCAUUGGAAACUGGGGAACUUGAGUGCAGAAGAGGAGAGUGGAAUUCCAUGUGUAGCGGUGAAAUGCGUAGAUAUCAAGAGGAACACCGGUGGCGAAGGCGGUUUCCUGGACAAGUCCUGACGCUGAGGCGCGAAAGCGUGGGGAGCAAACAGGAUUAGAUACCCCUGUAGUCCCUGUCUCUUAUAC
rnacentral:rRNA from 1 species